CAGCCGCCGCGGUAAUACCAACCCCGCGAGUGGUCGGGACGUUUAUUGGGCCUAAAGCGUCCGUAGCCGGCCCGGUAAGUCCCUCCUUAAAGCCCACGGCUCAACCGUGGGAGCGGAGGGAUACUGCCGGGCUAGGGGGCGGGAGAGGCCGGGGGUACUCCUGGGGUAGGGGCGAAAUCCUAUAAUCCCAGGAGGACCACCAGUGGCGAAGGCGCCCGGCUAGCACGCGCCCGACGGUGAGGGACGAAAGCUGGGGGAGCAAAGGGGAUUAGAUACCCCCGUAGUCCCAGCUGUAAACGAUGCAGGCUAGGUGUUAGGCGGGCUUCGUGCCCGCCUAGUGCCGUAGGGAAGCCGUUAAGCCUGCCGCCUGGGGAGUACGGCCGCAAGGCUGAAACUUAAAGGAAUUGGCGGG
rnacentral:rRNA from 1 species